rnacentral:lncRNA from 1 species
CUUUUCCGGCUUACAGAUUGGCAGGCUCCGUUAAAGCCCGGCCGAAAAAGUGAAAGCGAACCGAAAUGUGCGUUUUGGAAUAUCCAGUCGAAACAUUCGGAUAAGAAUGGAGAAAGGACCGGAUGGAAGCGUCCGCCUCUUUAUAUUAAAACGCCAAAUGCCCCGCGGGGUAGACCGCCAUAAGAAUGUAGGGGGCGGUGGAAUUUCGGCUGUACCAGCCGGGCCACCGGCUUAACUACCGAGUGCUUCCGCGGUAAAAGCAGACACCAAUCCAGUCGACACACACACACAUUUAUUUCGACAAGUUCUUUAAUAAGCGCGGUGACUUUUCCGCGUCGUACAACUUUUACCGACAGAAAAUGGGCCGUUCCGAUGGGCGGCUGGCAGUCCCACCGCCCCCAAACUCCGGCCCAGCUGGGCGCCGGGAGUCGAAAGGGGCUGGCGAGUAGCUAGGUGGGGCCAGCCUCGGCCGUUUGCCCAGACCACACUCGGGUGGUAGACCGUACCAAAAGAUUUAAUACUGGCGGGUAGCGGCGGCUAGUCCGCCGCUGGGACUAGCUAGCUAGGAAAUUUCCGGCUGACCCAGACUACGGUAUAAAAGCCGCGGCUCCCCCUUCCCCUCCGCCGCUGGGAAAGUGGAGGGAGCCGGGCGCGCCCGUUUCGGUUACCUAGGUAAGGCUGGGCGGGGCGCGGUGCCGGAACCGACCGCCCACCCAGCCCGUCUCCGGACCGGUUUUCCCGCGGGCCGUAGCCUAGGCGCCGGACUACUUGAGCCAAGUCGAAUGACGUCCCUGAGAAGGAAUUAACCUUUCAGCUAAGGUGUCGAGUUUCCCCCAGGCGGCCGCCAUGGGGGCAUAAAUCCAAGUCGGCGUAAAAUAACCCGGUUACUGGUCGGGCCUAUCUUGUUUUUCCGGAAAUCUAUCACAGACAGCGGCCAAAAUGGCCCGAAAGCGCUCCACCCCAGAAACGAACGCGUCUAAAAGAAAGGCCGACCCGGUGGUCGGGUCUUUAUUGCCGGAGUUCUCCACCGGCACCGGGCCGCUCCGCCCUACUACUUUGUACUUUGGUGACUUUUACUCCCGAAAUCUAGGGCGGGCGGAAAAUUCGGCCGGGUCGAUGUUUCCGCCCGCCCAUAAAACGGCCGACUGGUAGGCGCGUCCGUUGAUUGUCGUGGCCGAAAACCGAGCUAGGGCUGGGGGCCGAAACUUAACGGCGGUUGGACUCCGUCUCCACCCUAGGAUUAUUAAGAUGUAGUCGGUGGCCAAAUAAAGCUUUAUCCGGGGGGCUGGCGGGACGAACGCUGGUACCGCGGGCGGAGGCGGACACUAGCUCCGGAUCCACCCGCCCUCCGUUCGUUAAGCGGCCACCCACGCUCGAAAUAGAUUCCCGUUAAAAUAGGCGCCCGACUCGGCCUUUUCUUCCAAACGGUAUCUAGGCGCUACUCUACCUUAACUUCGCUAGCCAGAAUUCUUCCAGCCGGCUGGCAGACCCGGCUAUAACUCCCAUCGAGAGAAAACGGCACUCCUCUAAUCCUACUUAGGCUGGGCCGCUGGGGUCACCGCCGCCUUUCCAGUGGGGGGUGGCGGUGGGCCGCGCUAAAAACGGGUCGGUAGCCCCAGCCCUACCUUUUAUGGCGAAGGGGUGGGGCCCGGCCCAGCCGCUGGGAGAAACUAAAAAACAAAAAUUAUUUCCCUCUUUUCCCCGCUGGGCCCGGCCGUAUUAUAUAAAAAUAUAUUUGCCGUGGAAAAAUAUCGGUAUUUAAAAAAGUUUAGGGGCGACCGAGUGGGCCUGAAAAAGAAAAUAUAGGUAGAGACGGGUCCGAGGUAGGGGUUAUCGAGUUUGUGUCCAUUUCGACGGCGGUGGCCGUCCUCCACCCAAAUAUCGUCCUCCACCCGGGAUUAAAACCCCGGAUAAUGGAAAGAAACUAAGGAAUUCUUCGGUAUAUUUAUCAAAAAAUAUAUUUCGCCCCUCUAAUAAAAUAACGACGUUUUCUAAAAACCAAACCCCUAAUAAAUCCAGUGGUAGAAAUAAAAGGUGGUAGAUAUUUGGGCCGGGUCGACCGAUUCGAAAGAUUCGACUAUUCGCGCUUGGAUUUUGCCCCCAAAAGUGUCAAGAAAGACACGCGAGUAGUGCGCCUGGGUUCGCUAGUGGCCCUUCGAGGGCCGAUCCCUAAUUGUCAAAUGUUGGGGUCCGAUGCACUCUGUACUCCGGCUUUCAGCGGCAUGCCUGAGUUGGAUCCAUCUCCGUAUUCGUCGCCUUCUCCUCGAUACUGCGCCAUCAGACGAGAACGGUCCGAACCCGCUCCGGAAAAAUCCAGAUUGUACUAACCAACAGACAGACACAUUAUAUAGCACAGGUAAUAAAAAGCAAACUAAUAAAGGUGUCAGAGCCGAAUACCUUGGUGGCGCAUCCCAAGCAAUGAGUCACCACUUUGGAAAUGGCAUUCAUCAGAUUUUUCGUUUCUUUGAUCACGUUAUCUACCUAGGUGGAAUAAAACAAAGUACUGUUAGCUCUACCGAGACGGCCAUAAACCACUACUACUUUAUCCAAAGACAAACCACCGUUGGGCACUUUUUAUUUUCCGUUUCCUAGCCACCGCUGUCCCUCUUCCGUAUGGCGGCCCAAAUCGCUAUUCGCUUAAUAAUAAGGACCAACGCGCGCUGCUCCAUAAACUCGAACAUUUCCAGUGGCCAGUGUUUAAAGUAACCUAAACACGCAGAUAAUUCGGAUAGAAAACUUGCCACCAAACCAGAAAAAGUUGCUUUCGUUUUUCAUUUAUGUUCGAAAACCAUUACUGUUACCUAUCACAAUUUUAAACGUUUAAGUUGGGCCGACCCACCAGACGGCCGUGGCCUUACCAUAGGUGUGGACCACGCGACCGGGUGGUGUUAGGAUACGGUGGAAGCCCCGACACGGCUAACACUCGGCCGUACCCGACGCUAAAAUUUUGAUAAAAAUGAAAUUCUAUCCCGUAGGAUUAAAGGAGGCGGUCUCCGGGUAUCCUUUAACCGCCCAACUCGGUUCGAAAGCUGUAAGUGGAAGAGGGAAAAUAGGCUAAGAAUGGUAGGAUUAACGACUUUGGCGCUCCCCUCUAGUACAAAAAUAAACAGCGCCAGAGAAAGAGAACUAU